CCCCAGUACACCCAGUUCAGCACCAGAGAACCCCUUACUGGUCCUUACUGGUUCAUACCGGUCCUUACUGGCCCUUAUUGUUCCAUACUGGUCCGUACUGGUCCUACUGGUCCAGUACCAGCACCCAAUAGCCCCAGUACAACCGGUUCACCUGCACCAGUACCAGAGCGCCCCAUACUGGUCCUUACUGGUAUUAGUGGCUCUCAGUAUGGGCAGUACUGGUGCCAGAAAGGCCAUACUGGUCCCAGUACGACCAGUACUGGUGCUGGAGCUCCUGUACUGGUCCCAGUACCACCAGUACAGGUGCCUGAACUCCCCUACUGGUCCCAGUACAGCCUGUACUGGUGCUGGAGCCCCCUGCUGGUCCCAGUAUGGCCAGUACUGGUGCCGGAGCCCCUGUACUGGUCCCAGUACCACCAGUACCGGUGCUGGGGCACCUGUACUGGGACCAGUAGGGGCAGUACUAGUGCCAGAGCUCCUGUACUGGUCCCAGUAGGGGCAGUACUGGUGCCACAGCCCCCAUACUGGUCCCAGUACGGGCAGUACUGGUGCCGGAGCCCCCGUACUGGUUCCAGUAACACCAGUACAGGUGCCGCAGAUCCCGUACUGGUCCCAGUACUGGCAGUACUGGUGCUGGAGCUCCCAUACUGGUCCCAGUAUGGGCAGUACGGGUGCUGGGGGCCCUGUACUGGUCCCAGUACGGGCAGUACUGGUGCCGCAGCCCCCAUACUGGUCCUAGUACAGGCACUGGGCCCCCGUACUGGUCCCAGUAUGGGCAGUAGGGGUGCUGGGGGCCCCAUACUGGUCCCAGUACCACCAGUACAGGCGCCGGCGAUCCCGUACUGGUCCCAGUACUGCUGCCAGGGCCCCCAUACUGGUCCCAGUACAAGCAGUACUGGUGCCAGGGGCCCCGUACUGGUCCCAGUACGGGCAGUACUGGUGCCGGAGCUCCCGUACUGGUCCCAGUACCACCAGUACUGGCGCCGCAGACCCUGUACUGGUUCCAGUAGGGGCAGUACUGGUGCUGGGGGCCCCGUACUGGGACCAGUAUGGGCUGUACUGGUUCCGCAGCCCCAUACUGGUCCCAGUACUGCUAGUGCUGGUGCCGCGGCCCCCGUACUGGUCCCAGUAUGGGCAGUACUGGUGCCAGAGCCCCUGUACUGGUCCCAGUACCACCAGUACGGGUGCCCCACUGGUGCCGGGGCACCCGUACUGGGACCAGUACGGGCAGUACUGGUGCUG
rnacentral:lncRNA from 1 species